UUAAUUUUUCUUUUUCUCCCAAUUUUUUUUCUCGCUUCUGGGUUUUCGCAUGAAGAAUGCUUCAAUUCGACGACUGCUGAGGAGAUUCACGUUGAGUAAUCUUAUGAUUAGGACGAAACCAUUACAAUCGACUGGGCUUCUUCUUCCUCGUGGUGAUUUGAUCUGUUCGGUUAAUUCAGGCACAAGACUAUUUCAAUCGGCUAGGAUUCUUCUCCAUUGUGAUUAUUUGGUAAUUAAGAUCUAGGGUUUGUUUGUUCUGUUUGGUUUGAUUCGGCACGAAACUAUUUUAAUCGGCGGCUUGGUUUCUUCUUCCUCCUCAUGGUUUUGAGACCGCAAGUGGAGGAGUCAAGAUGAGAGAUGAGCACUAAGGUACCAGUUGUUCCUACUCCUUUUCUUAGUUUGUGAGCACUAAGGUAAAUUCCUUUUUUUUUUUGUGUUUUCAAGUUUUUGAGGACUGAAAUCAAAUGGGGUACAAUUGAUCAGUCCACUUCUGUUAGGAUUUAUUGCUUUAUUUUAUUUAAGCAAUUGACUUUUUUAUCAUUGUGAUUUUAGAAUCAAGAUUUUUGUUUUUGUUUUUGUGUACUUGAUCCAACAACAAAAAAAUUAUUCACUUUAAUAAGAAUCCAGA